UGGGGAUAUUGCACAAUGGGCGAAAGCCUGAUGCAGCGACGCCGCGUGGGGGAUGAAGGCUUUCGGGUUGUAAACCUCUUUCGCUAUCGAACAAGGCCCGCUUAGGGUGGGUUGAGGGUAGGUGGAGAAGAAGCGCCGGCUAACUACGUGCCAGCAGCCGCGGUAAUACGUAGGGCGCGAGCGUUGUCCGGAAUUAUUGGGCGUAAAGGGCUUGUAGGCGGCUUGUUGCGCCUGCUGUGAAAACGCGGGGCUUAACUUCGGGCGUGCAGUGGGUACGGGCAGGCUUGAGUGUGGUAGGGGUGACUGGAAUUCCAGGUGUAGCGGUGGAAUGCGCAGAUAUCUGGAGGAACACCGAUGGCGAAGGCAGGUCACUGGGCCAUUACUGACGCUGAGGAGCGAAAGCAUGGGUAGCGAACAGG
rnacentral:rRNA from 1 species